rnacentral:misc_RNA from 1 species
UACGGAGGGCGCAAGCGUUAAUCGGAUUUACUGGGCGUAAAGGGCGCGUAGGCGGCCAGGCAAGUGGGAUGUGAAAGCCCCGGGCUCAACCUGGGAAUGGCAUCCCAAACUGUCCGGCUCGAGUACAGUAGAGGGGGGUAGAAUUCCCGGUGUAGCGGUGAAAUGCGUAGAGAUCGGGAGGAAUACCAGUGGCGAAGGCGGCCCCCUGGACUGAUACUGACGCUGAGGCGCGAAAGCGUGGGGAGCAAACAGG